rnacentral:lncRNA from 1 species
CUGUGUUUCCUCCACUGCAGUCCAAACAAGAAUCAACCAUGCUACCAUGAACAUCAUUAAAACGACGUUGGUUCACUCAGUGGCAACGGAGUGGCAGUCAGGGGCUCCUGUCGUGGAACAGGCACUGUUUGGAUCCUGCAGAAUCCGGGUGUUCCCUCACCAGGAAUUGAACCCAGGCCCGUGGCAGUGAAAACCCAGAAUCCUAACAACUAAGCCACCAGGGAACUCCCUGGAAAUCUUUUUAGUAAUGAAGAAAGGUAUUGUCAUCUUACUCAGUUCAGUCGCUCAGUCAUGUCCGACUGUUUGCAACCCCAUGGACUGCAGCACAGCAAGUUUUCCUGUCCAUCACCAACUCCCAGAGCUUGCUCAAACUCAUGUCCAUCGAGUCGGUGCUGCCAUCCAACCAUCUCAUCCUCUGUCAUCCCCUUCUCCUCCUGCCUUCAAUCUUCCACCAUCAAGGUCUUUUCCAGUGAGUCAGUUCUUUGCAUCAGGUAACCAAAGUAUUGGAGCUUCAGCUUCAGCCUCAGUCCUUCCAAUGAAUAUUCAGGACUGA